rnacentral:rRNA from 1 species
CGAAAGGGUGACGAAGCGACGCCGCGUGUGGGAAGAAGGCCUUCGGGUUGUAAACCACUGUCGGGAGUUAGGAAAUGUAAGGGUGUUAAUAGCAUCCUUACUUGACUAAGGCUCCGGAGGAAGCCACGGCUAACUCUGUGCCAGCAGCCGCGGUAAUACAGAGGCGGCAAGCGUUGUUCGGAAUUAUUGGGCGUAAAGAGCACGUAGGCGGCUCUGUAAGUCAGCUGUGACAGCCUUCUGCUUAACGGAAGAACAGCAGUUGAAACUACAGGGCUUGAGUGCGGGAGGGGAGAGUGGAACUUCUGGUGGAGCGGUGAAAUGCGUAGAUAUCAGAAGGAACGCCGGCGGCGAAAGCGGCUCUCUGGCCCGUAACUGACGCUGAGUGUGCGAAAGCUAGGGGAGCAAACGGGAUUAGAUACCCCGGUAGUCCUAGCCGU